GGUGUGGUAGUUCAGUUGGUUAGAAUACCGGCCUGUCACGCCGGGGGUCGCGGGUUCGAGUCCCGUCCACUCCGCCA
rnacentral:tRNA from 1 species